rnacentral:rRNA from 1 species
GAUGAACGCUGGCGGCGUGCCUAAUACAUGCAAGUCGAGCGAACAGACGAGGAGCUUGCUCCUUCGACGUUAGCGGCGGACGGGUGAGUAACACGUAGGUAACCUACCUAUAAGACUGGGAUAACUUCGGGAAACCGGAGCUAAUACCGGAUAAUAUUUCGAACCGCAUGGUUCGAUAGUGAAAGAUGGCUUUGCUAUCACUUAUAGAUGGACCUGCGCCGUAUUAGCUAGUUGGUAAGGUAACGGCUUACCAAGGCAACGAUACGUAGCCGACCUGAGAGGGUGAUCGGCCACACUGGAACUGAGACACGGUCCAGACUCCUACGGGAGGCAGCAGUAGGGAAUCUUCCGCAAUGGGCGAAAGCCUGACGGAGCAACGCCGCGUGAGUGAUGAAGGGCUGCGGAUCGUAAAACUCUGUUAUUAGGGAAGAACAAACGUGUAAGUAACUGUGCACGUCUUGACGGUACCUAACCAGAAAGCCACGGCUAACUACGU